rnacentral:rRNA from 1 species
UCUGGAAGAAUCUGGAGACAGGUGCUGCAUGGCUGUCGUCAGCUCGUGUCGUGAGAUGUUGGGUUAAGUCCCGCAACGAGCGCAACCCUUGCCUUUAGUUGCCAGCAGUUCGGCUGGGCACUCUAAAGGGACUGCCGGUGUUAAACCGGAGGAAGUGGGGAUGACGUCAAGUCCUCAUGGCCUUUAUGACCAGGGCUACACACGUACUACAAUGGCCGAUACAAAGGGCAGCGACACUGCGAGGUGAAGCCAAUCCCGUAAAAUCGGUCUCAGUCCGGAUUGGAGUCUGCAACUCGACUCCAUGAAGUUGGAAUCGCUAGUAAUCGUGGAUCAGCAUGCCACGGUGAAUACGUUCCCGGGCCUU